rnacentral:rRNA from 1 species
ACCCCUAAACCAGCUCAACCACCCAAACAAACAACUAACCAACAAAACAAACCAUUUGACAACACUAGUAAAGGAGAAUGAACAG